rnacentral:rRNA from 1 species
UUGGAGGGCAAGUCUGGUGCCAGCAGCCGCGGUAAUUCCAGCUCCAAUAGCGUAUAUUAAAGUUGUUGCAGUUAAAAAGCUCGUAGUUGAAUUUCGGAGUUUGUCGGUUGGUCGGGCUUCAUUGUCCGCACUGGCCUGAUGGAUUCCUACCUUCUGAAUAACCAGCAUGCUAUUAAGUUAGUGCGUUGGGGAAGCAGAGCUAUUACCUUGAAAAAAUUAGAGUGCUUAAAGCAGGCUUAUGCUUGAAUAGAUUAGCAUGGAAUAAUAAAAUAGGACGGCAUGGUUCUAUUUUGUUGGUUUCUAGGAUCACCGUAAUGAUUAAUAGGGAUAGUUGGGGGCAUUAGUAUUCAAUUGUCAGAGGUGAAAUCCUUGGAUUUAUUGAAGACUAACUUCUGCGAAAGCAUUUGCCAAGGAUGUUUUCAUUAAUCAAGAACGAAAGUUAGGGGAUCGAAGACGAUCAGAUACCGUCGUAGUCUUAACCAUAAACUAUGCCGACUAGGGAUCGGACGAUGUUAAUUUUUUAAUGACUCGUUCGGCGCCUUACGGGAAAC